UCUGCUGUGAAAGCCCCGGGGCUCAACCCCCGGGGUCUGCAGUGGGUACGGGCAGACUAGAGUGCAGUAGGGGAGACUGGAAUUCCUGGUGUAGCGGUGAAAUGCGCAGAUAUCAGGAGGAACACCGAUGGCGAAGGCAGGUCUCUGGGCUGUAACUGACGCUGAGGAGCGAAAGCAUGGGGAGCGAACAGGAUUAGAUACCCUGGUAGUCCAUGCCGUAAACGUUGGGCACUAGGUGUGGGGGACAUUCCACGUUUUCCGCGCCGUAGCUAACGCAUUAAGUGCCCCGCCUGGGGAGUACGGCCGCAAGGCUAAAACUCAAAGGAAUUGACGGGGGCCCGCACAAGCACAAGCGGCGGAGCAUGCGGAUUAAUUCGAUGCAACGCGAAGAACCUUACCAAGGCUUGACAUGAACCGGUAAGACCUGGAAACAGGUCCCCCACUUGUGGCCGGUUUACAGGUGGUGCAUGGUUGUCGUCAGCUCGUGUCGUGAGAUGUUGGGUUAAGUCCCGCAACGAGCGCAACCCUCGUUCUAUGUUGCCAGCGGGUUAUGCCGGGGACUCAUAGGAGACUGCCGGGGUCAACUCGGAGGAAGGUGGGGACGACGUCAAAUCAUCAUGCCCCUUAUGUCUUGGGCUUCACGCAUGCUACAAUGGCCGGUACAAAGGGUUGCGAUACUGUGAGGUGGAGCUAAUCCCAAAAAGCCGGUCUCAGUUCGGAUUGAGGUCUGCAACUCGACCUCAUGAAGUUGGAGUCGCUAGUAAUCGCAGAUCAGCAACGCUGCGGUGAAUACGUUCCCGGGCCUUGUACACACCGCCCGUCAAGUCACGAAAGUUGGUAACACCCGAAGCCGGUGGCCUAACCCCUUGUGGGAGGGAGCCGUC
rnacentral:rRNA from 1 species